GCCUUCCCUUUAAAACCUUAUAAACAUCAAAAACCUCCCGAGAAGACAGACUUCUUGAAAUCCUAAUGGAAUCUAAGAGAAAUGAAGCUUCCAAUCUACACUCAAAGCGAAAAAAAACCCGUAACUCUGCUCAAUUGCCUUCCUCUUCAGUUAAAGAUUCAAUCUUUAACAGAAUCCCUGUUCUGCCAGAAGAGGUCGUCACUCAAAUCCUGUUACGGCUUCCGGUGAAAUCCCUUUUGAAAUUCAGGUCAGUUUCAAAAUCUUGGCUUGGUUUAAUCUCAAACCCUGAAUUUAUCAACACCCAUCUCAGCAAAUCUGCAAAUAACAAGGAUUUCACUCAUCAUAGGUUUAUGCUGACUAUUUCUCUACCUAAGUAUAAUCUUAAGGACUGUUCUGCUAGUUCUUUGCUUUAUGACUCUGCUGCUGAGGCAUUGGAUUUGGAGUAUCCUACAAAAGAAAUCCGUAGAUCUGUUGAGGUUGUGGGUUCAGUCCAUGGGUUAAUAUGUCUUGUCAUUGCGAAAAAAUACUUUUUAAUCUGGAAUCCAUCCAUUAGGAAAUUCAAGAAAUUGCCUGAAUGUAGAGAUGAAUUUUGCUUUGGUCACCAUUUCUUGUAUGGUUUUGGAUAUGAUGAGGUUCAUGGGGAUUAUAAGGUAGUGGUAGGGUAAUAAUGAGGGUUACAGCUAUUCAUUUCUUGUUAAGGUUAAAAUGUAUAGUCUGAAUAGUGAUUCUUGGACAAGUUUAGAGGAUUUUGAUAGUGGGGUGCUAGGAACUGAGUCGGGUGUGUUUGUGAAUGGGAAACUUCAUUGGGCUAAUAGUGCUUAUCGUCGGUCUGGUUGGGAUAUCAUUUCUGUUGAUUUGGCUGAUAGUACACGGGGAGAAGUGGAGCAACCUUACUAUGCAGAAGGAGAUUUUGGUUUGACCCUGGGAGUUUUGGGAAGUGAUCUUUCAGUGUUUUGUAAUUAUCGAAGAAUUCAGGCUGAGGUGUGGGUUUUGAAGGAGUGUGGGGUUAAAGAAUCUUGGAUAAAGAUGUUUACCAUCGAUAUUCCUUGUGAUCCUAGGAUGAGUUAUAAGUUUUUCAAUUCUUUUGCAUGUCAAAUAAAGGUGAAGUUUUGUUUCAUUUUGGCUCAACUUUCAUGAUUUAUAAUCCAAAGGAUCACUCAAUCACCCAUUGAAGCCCUCAUCUAGAGGUUACUGGCUAUAAUUAUGAGGCAAGCAUCUAUAUAGAAAGCCUAGUUUGGCCUUUCUUUCAACGGAAGAAAUCAAGGAUGCAACAGAGGAGGAGGUUGAAAUAGCUCUGAUGAGGACAAUUAUCUGAUUAGUAAACAAGAUUCACAAGAGCUUUCACAAUAAUCUGGUAGGAAGAAUAGAAGAAUGUUACUAUAUCAAAUACUAAAUUGUUCUAAUAAUUCACAGAAACUUGAAAAGGUCAAAAAGACAUGAAAAAAUAGAAUACAUGAGGUGGAGAGAAGAACUUGAAGACUUCUUUUUAGACAUGCCUAAGUCCUCAUAUCUCUUUCUAUAUAUAUUCUCCAUCACGAAGAUUAUUGUUGUUUCUAAUUUCUUUUGCAUUUCUAUAAACUCAUUGUGGUGUUGUAAUAUUUUAGGUAUUAUUAUGAGCUUUUGAAAUAGAUGUAUGUAUGAAGUUCAGUGUUUAAAUUAUAUAUAUCUGUCAAUUUAUAUUUUAAA